GAUACGACCACGCCCCGGGCACAUUUUUCGAUCAGCUCCAUAAGUAUUUCUUGCACACCCAUGCGAGCUAAAUUAGCUCAAUUGCAUCUCACUGAGCUCUGUUUAGUUCGUUUCCAGUUCAAUGGGAUCGUUUUGCUCAUAUUGAGUUUAUUUUAAUUUUACAAACUCAUUUGCUGGAAUAAAUUGAAUAAAUUGAAUAAGUUAAUUUAGUUAUUUAAUUUAGCUCAAAUAAGUGUUAGUAAAUUAAUUAGUUUAAAUCUGAACAUCUUUAAUAUUUCUUGAGUUUAAUUGAUUGUGUUUUAUUUAGUACAGCAAUUUAAUAUGUCUUAGUUAGCUCAUUACAUCAUUUAAUAUGUUCCAGCCUAAGACAAUUUAAUUGACGAAUUAAUGUGUAUUUUUUAUUACAGCUAAUUGUUGUGUCUUGGCUGCUGAUUUAUCAUGUUUAAGUCAGCCGAAUUUAUGAGCAGAAUUAAUGUGUCCUUGUGUGGUUGACGAAUUUAAUAUGCCUUGUUGACCAAAUUUUAUUUUGUCUUAAACUUGAGUUAAUGGCUAAUUUAAAUGUGUACAGGUGCAUGGAAAUGGGGACAAAAAUUAAAGAAGGUUUAAUUCUUUGCUGCCGAAUUUAAUGUGCCC
rnacentral:lncRNA from 1 species